rnacentral:rRNA from 1 species
UACGAAGGGGGCUAGCGUUGCUCGGAAUCACUGGGCGUAAAGGGUGCGUAGGCGGGUCUUUUAAGUCAGGGGUGAAAUCCCUGGAGCUCAACUCCAGAACUGCCUUCGAUACUGGAAGACUUGAGUCCGGGAGAGGUGAGUGGAACUGCGAGUGUAGAGGUGAAAUUCGUAGAUAUUCGCAAGAACACCAGUGGCGAAGGCGGCUCACUGGCCCGGUACUGACGCUGAGGUGCGAAAGCGUGGGGGAGCAAACAGG